AAUUUAGUAAAUUUGGUAAAGGGCUUAAAUAUAAUGAUGUACUUCACCCAUCCCUCUCCAUAAAGAACACAAGUCAUAAAAACAACUAAGUAUGUUUAGUGCAUGCAGUGAGAAACAUACUGUGAAAUGGAAACUAAGAGUAGAACAGAAGUUAUUUGUCACCAUUCACACAACCACAGCUGUAAACAUCACUGAUACCACAGGAGCUACCUGGUUGUGUGUGUUUCUCUUAUCAAUCAUGGCAAGAUUUGGGUGUGGAGAUCAUUUCAGGACUUUCCAGGGCAAGAUCUGCCCACAUCACAGAGAGGAGAUGGAGUUGAGAAGAUCCUGCUUCCAAGGGCAAAACAUAGCAGGUUUUGUUCUACUUUGUGACUUUAAAGGCACAUGCUAUGUAAGAUGCACACAAACAUGGACAUGAUUAAAAAAAAAAAAAAAAGAUUACUUGUACUAUUUGCAGUCAAAAUUUAAUGGGAAGUACGAAAAAAUAUACAUAAGAAAGAUUCAUAGAAAGAAAAAGCAUGGAUUAUUUACUAAGCUGCCACUAGAUGACUGCACAUGAGCUGAGAAAUCACGCUGCCUAAGGAUGUCUUUGGCAUUGUGCUGAUGCUUGCAUUUAUUCAUCUUUCACAUUAAACUAUUAUUAUUAUUAUUAUUAUUAGAUCAGUCCUGUAUCUUUGAACUUUAGAUAUAUUAAUAAUAAUAAUGGGAUCAUUUCGUGUUUAGAUUUUAAGGAGGAGAGGAGGAGAACCCAACUGCCAAGGGAUUCGGGCACUCGGGUCCACUGCCCUGUUCUAGUGCAUUCUCUGGCAACACUGGAUCUCUGGCCGGGGUCCAGUGGACCUGCAGUGAACAGCGCCAGGUCUAUGACCCGCUGACAAAGCACCAGAAAACUAGAAGCAACCAAACAAACCACACAAACAAGAAAACUGAAGCCGAAGGCUGAAGGCUUCUGGUUGUCUGUUGCUUGGUUGGCAGGUGAUGGGGAUGGCCUGCUGUAAAACCAACCUGUGUUUUAUUUAUUUUUUAAAUUUUUUUAAUGAAGGCUGUGCGCAACUCUUUCCAGAAAAAAAAGAAACUGAACCUGAAACCUGAAACUGAAAUUGAUGUCUGUGUUUUAUUUUAUUCAAGUUAUGAAACUCUUUUUAAAGAAUAACAAGUUAAAGGAGAUUUGCAUCAUUUUCUCAGACACAUGUCGUUCCAAGCCUGUAUGACUUUCUUUUAUGGAACAUAAAAGAAUAUAUUCUGAAAGUCAGUGGGAUCUAACCACAUUUGGUCCCCAUUGAUCUUCCACCUUCCCAAACAUUUUCCAAAAUCCUAUUUUGUGUUUCAUGAACUGAUGGAUGAACUGUUUCUUUAAAAAUAAUUGAUCUAAUCUGAGUUUUUAAACUUUUAAAGUUGAUGACGUGUUAUCAUUCAUAUUCAUGAACAUCAUCCGUCUAACCUUGCCCAUAAUUCAGCAUAAUGAGGUUUGAGAAACAGAAACCAAGAGCAGAAUCGAAAGUUAACAACCUGAUACAACAGAAAUCCUGCUGAUCUCAACUUAAAUAGUGUAGAAGUUGUCUUAAUUGUUAAUUCAAGCUAAUUAAUGUUAACAAAUAUGGUAGUGUUACUGAAGGUAAAAGUGAUUUUUCAGUCUUCUGUGUUGUAAUUUUUUGGGUAUGGUGUUAAAAAAAGCAUGUGUUCUGAACCUAUAAAUGUAUGCAAAGCAACUGGUAAGAAACAUAUGUGUUGUCUCAAUAAAGUUAAGAGUGUCUAAGAUUAAUUUUAGUGGACGUUUAAAAAGCGCAAUCAAAAAUGCUGUCAUUCACUUUGGAACAACAGCAAAGCCUUCCUGUAGUGGGACGGGCCGACAGAAGAUCAGAAACUUACUGAGAAAACGAAACACAUGAAAACAAGGCCAACCGCUGUUCCCAGAUCAGUUGAGGGCGGUAACCUAGUAUAAAUUACAGAGAGACACACUGAUCUGUCCUUUCCGUGACCAGAUCCUUCUGCUGCCAGAUCAACAAGGUCUACGGUGUUUCCUCUGUGGGAGAUGCUGUGGAAACCUGACUGGUCUUGGAGCACUAAUGUCAUCAUGAAGGAGGCGGAGGUCAUGUAAAUCCUUGCUGCCAGGGGCGGGGUCAUCUGGCACAGCGUCAUUCAGAGGGGAAACUCAUUUGCAUGAGUCUCUAUCUUUGUUUUGUGCUGGUGCCCAGAUGUGCAGAGGCCUGCGCAGUCUGCGAAGCCUAACACCGCUGUGACGCCUGACGAUCCGCGCAUGAAGCCUCAAAUUUCCGACAAAUGCUACAAAGCCAAGAACCGACCAGAAAAAAACCAAUGAAUGUAAUGCCAAAACUGAACCAAGAAAUCUCUUUAACACGUUGCUGACCAAUGAAUACUGCUACAAAUGUAAAGUAAAGUGAAGAAGCGAAUUUUUGGUGAAACCUUUGGUUUCUGCAUUGCUUGGUUCGGUUGGUCCGGGGCCCAGCUGAUAAAACAAAAAGCCCCGGAAAAAAUGUUUAAAAAAAUCUAAAUAAAAAUAGUAAAAUCUGCAACAAAAAUUCUUAUUGUACUGUGUUUAUUUUUGUUUAUCUUCCAGUGUUUGAUGAUGAAUUUAUUAACUAUAUCACUUCUUACACUAGGCCACUACAAGACUGUUUAGACACUGUAGGAAAAAAAAAAUAGAAAAAGAAAAUCAGUGGAGAAACAAAGUAUAUAUAAGAAAGUAUGUUUACACUUUACAACAAGGUCCCAUUAAUUAACAAUGAGAAAUACAUUUGUUACAGUAUUUAUUAAUAUUUGUUAACAAACAACUAUACAACUCAAAGUACAACUCUUUAUUUUAAUAUUGUAGUAAAUUUUGGACUAGGAUUAAUGUUAAUUUAUGUAGUUUAUGAAUGUGAACAAAUGGAAUUUUGUACAAAACAAUCAAAAGCAUUGCAUAGAUUUAACAUAAGUAUAACCAAGAGGCCAAACAUGAUCUUUUGUAUUUAAAAUGUUACAUAAUAAAUUAUAUAACUGAGAACAUCUGAGAUCCCACCCAAGCAAAGUUUCCCUUUCACUUUCGUUUCUGUGAAACGCUCUCAUCUAAUGUGUCUGCACCAGACUGGCUGCUGCAUAGUUGUGUUCUUUGAGGAGGUGUGAACAGUUUCUGUAGGAAGAGUAUAAGUAACAGAUGAAGGUCCAGUUCAGAUGAACUGCACUACGCUGCUCUGAACCCUAAACAAAUCAUCAGCAUGGUAAGUUUUUUUAAAUAAUUCCCUUCAAGUAAAAUAUAGCUAUAAGGUAAAAUGUUAUUAUUAUUAUUAUUAUUAUUAUUAUUAUUAUUGCAAACUAGCAAGAAUGCAAAUUUUUAAUAUGUGUGAGUCCAGCAACUAUUUCGAAACACACAUUUAAGUAUGAUUUUAGGUUUGACAUUAAGUUGCAGUAUCGCUUAAUCUAAAUCAUUCAUGUAUGCAUGAACUCAGCUUUAGAUAGAUUUAUAGAUUGAGGAAAUAGACAGAUAAUGUUAUUGCAAGCAUCACUGCAGAUAAAAUAUGGACAAAUAUACUAAUGUGCCAUGUAUUGACACAAGGGCAUCUGCUAUCAUAUUAUACUCAGACAUUUGAACUGUACUGUGUUUUAAGUCAAACAUUAACUCUUAGUUUGUGCAUGGCAUCUUAAGUUCAGGCUAUUGUUUUAUAAUCACCCCACCUCUGUAGAGAAUGUGUUAGGGUGUGCCAGUUUCUUCAGGGUAAAGGAUGGGUGGGAAACUUAAACAAACAUGCUAUAUAUAAAUUCAUAAUCUGCAAGUAAGAUAAUAAAAUAAUAUCUGAAAUCAAUAACACCAUUUAUUUAUUUAUUAAUCAAGUAGCUAUGUAUUAUAUGAGAAAAUGCACCCCAAAACUAUGACAGCAUAACUAAAAAUAAGACAUUUAAGGUUCAUGAAUAAAUAUAGCAUUUUUUUCUUCAAUGCACGGUCCUAAAUGAAAUAAAAUAAAGUGUGUUAUAUGGAAGGUGUUUUCAUAAAUUUCAUAUUUACUAUUUUAUGUUUUAGACUUUGGCGUUUUGAUAUGGUUGCAAUGAACAACUGAAAUAAAUGAAUUAUUAUAUUUGGUUGAUCUAAAAAAAUAAGCCAAAUUAGGUUAAAUGAACAUUAACUUUGGUACUGAGUCUGACCUUAAUUUUAUAAAGAUAUUCCAACUAAACUUGAUAAACUCUCAUAACUUUAAAAAAAAAAGUGGCUGGGUCAAUAAAAUGUAAUUGUGCCAACAAAAAGUAAUUUCAAAGUAAAUUCAACAUAACUGAGUCAAAGCAAAAAAGAACCUAAUCUAACUCAAUAUGUUAAAAUAUAAAGUCAACAUUUUAUUAGUCUAUCUAUUUGAGCAACAACAUUUUUCUCCAUCAACAGAUCUUAUCCGAGGGGAGUGAUGAAGGGGAUGAUGACGAUGAUGAAGAAGAUGAUGGAGGUGCUGGAGUAAGUGUCUGCUGCCAAGGGUAGACAACUGCUCCAGACCUUGAUGCAGCCAGUGCUGAGAAAGACCCAAUAGCACGCUGGAUCAAACAAACUGUGUGCAAUUGCUGAUACAAGCCAGCAGCAGCCAAAGCAAUCACACAGCUUCAGUUGUGACAAAUGUCGCAACCCAAGUACCUCCCACGCCAUGUGUGUCCAUGGCAAACUUGACACGUAGACUAUGUUUCCUCCAUGGGAAUGAUGGAACUCGCAACUUUCCCGCUGUGCAGUGGCAGCACCAUCACUUUUUUUCAGAACGGCUCUGCUUUCAUGUCUGUUUGUGCAACCCUGAAGAAACCAUGGAGAGAAGAACGAAACGUUCAUGGAGAGGUGAUCCCUGAUGAUUACAGAGCUGCUGGUCCAGAGGUUGGAAGAUGUGAGACAGUUUUUUCUGAGCUCACAAUCGUCCUCAUUCACCAUUGUGCCACCGAGCAACGCACAUGACUCCAACGCAGGACUGACUGUUUCUGCAAAAUGUCUACAGUAGUCAACAAUCCAUUAAGAUACAAACAGAGAAUGGGCUGGAUGGGCAUUUUGAAGAUGUUCUAAUGGAUGCAUGUUGCUCACUUAUUUACUGGGAGGUCAUGCCCCUUUGAAGCCCAAGUGUAUUUGUUGUAAAGAUAUAUUCAGACUAUGGCUGCUUGGUCCAAAUUGCUCUCCAGUAAAACUAGCAGAAGGUUUCUGAAGCAGUGGACCAAGGUCAGAGAUAAAAGCCCACUGUUUUUUUUUUUUUUUUUUUUUUUUUUUUUUUAUGUUCUUUUACCUCUUUGUCAAUGCCACUCAGCCAUAGAGAGCGUGAUCAGAGCGAGAUGACAUGUUCACCAGAAUAAGGUUCACAGGCACACUGGUUCUGCAGGUUGUGCUGACUGGGUUGAAUCCACUGGUUCAGAUAUCUUACUAACACUACACAAUAUGACACACUGUUAAAUUUCACGCACAAGUGUUAUCGCAGUGCUGUUGAAAAAAGUUACACAACAUAGGUAACGUACCUGUAAUGAGACAUGAUCUCAUACAGAACAAGGUCCUAAUCAAAGGACCUAUAAAGGUCUAGCCAAAAAUGAAGCCCAAUAGAUGCGACACAACAUCAAAGGCCCUCAUAUCCUAUUGAGCACUCGUCUUGGUUGUGUGGCAAGGGGGUCCUUAGCAAGUGGUCUGUUUAGUUUUACAAUGGUGUUCUUAGAAAUGUCAUGAAUGUAGAUGAUUUCUGUGCAUUCGUCUGCCUAAAUGUAUCGCUUUCUAAUGAGCUACACGAUAAAACCCCCCUAAAUAAAGUACUACAUGUUGUGAAAAAAUAUUUUGUGUGAGUUUUUCUGAUGGAGCCAAUCUCUAGAUUAAUAUUUCGCAUGGUAUGUGUCAUGUGUUUUGGCCACAUUUUUAAGACUUUGGGGUAAAUUAGCGCAAUUAUG
ensembl:lncRNA